UACGUAGGGUGCGAGCGUUGUCCGGAAUUACUGGGCGUAAAGAGCUCGUAGGUGGUUUGUCGCGUUGUCCGUGAAAUUCCCUGGCUUAACUGGGGGCGUGCGGGCGAUACGGGCAGACUGGAGUACUGCAGGGGAGACUGGAAUUCCUGGUGUAGCGGUGAAAUGCGCAGAUAUCAGGAGGAACACCGGUGGUGAAGGCGGGUCUCUGG
rnacentral:rRNA from 1 species